UCGAUUUGCAGGGUAAUUGUUUGGCUUACCCACCCAGACGAAACUCCGGCCGUCUGCUUAAGCCGCUGCUGCUCGCUCUCGGCGUCCCCGCUCUCCGGCGUUUGACACGUGAUGUACCAGAGUUAUCGCGGGAUUUGGGAGUUUCAAUCCGAAGAUCUAAUGAGAGCUGCAGAGUAGAUAAAAAUUGGAGCGCUCCA